rnacentral:lncRNA from 1 species
AUGAGGCACCUCUCAGUCUACAAAGGCAUUUUCACAUGGCUUUCCAGUGCUGAAUGGCUUAUCUCUCAGUUACAUGAGUGCAGCUGGCAGCAGGAUUUGGCUCUGUUGGUCAGCAUCCCAGCGGUGGGAAUUCAGAUGGCUCCUGUGCUGGUGYUGCGGUCCCACCGUCACCUUUCCCUCACAGAGAGGGGGAGACGUGCUGUAGAGGGGAGGCAGCGCUGCAAUCGGCCAGCCCUUGGGGCACUGCCAGCACAGAGAGGGAGCAASACAGCCUGCUGA